rnacentral:rRNA from 1 species
UACGUAGGGUGCAAGCGUUGUCCGGAAUUAUUGGGCGUAAAGAGCUCGUAUGCGGUUCGUCGCGUCGGCUGUGAAAACCCGGAGCUCAACUCCGGGCCUGCAGUCGAUACGGGCGGACUCGAGUUCGGCAGGGGAGACUGGAAUUCCUGGUGUAGCGGUGAAAUGCGCAGAUAUCAGGAGGAACACCGGUGGCGAAGGCGGGUCUCUGGGCCGAUACUGACGCUGAGGAGCGAAAGCGUGGGGAGCGAACAGG